UGUAUCAUCGUUGCUUAUGGCGAACCUCCAGUGUUGCCAUUUAUAAAUUUAUGAUUCCAUUAGCUCAUCUGGUCUUCCCUAAAAGGUUAU